rnacentral:rRNA from 1 species
GAUGAACGCUGGCGGCGUGCUUAACACAUGCAAGUCGAACGGAAGGGCCCAAGCUUGCUUGGGUACUCGAGUGGCGAACGGGUGAGUAACACGUGGGUGAUCUGCCCUGCACUUCGGGAUAAGCCUGGGAAACUGGGUCUAAUACCGGAUAGGACCACAUUUUGGAUGGUGUGGUGGAAAGUUUUUCGGUGUGGGAUGAGCUCGCGGCCUAUCAGCUUGUUGGUGGGGUAAUGGCCUACCAAGGCGUCGACGGGUAGCCGGCCUGAGAGGGUGUACGGCCACAUUGGGACUGAGAUACGGCCCAGACUCCUACGGGAGGCAGCAGUGGGGAAUAUUGCACAAUGGGCGCAAGCCUGAUGCAGCGACGCCGCGUGGGGGAUGACGGCCUUCGGGUUGUAAACUCCUUUCGCUAGGGACGAAGCGCAAGUGACGGUACCUGGAGAAGAAGCACCGGCUAACUACGUG